rnacentral:lncRNA from 1 species
GGGACUAUUGCCCGGUUCAAGACCUAAGAGAGAUCAACAACAAAAUGCAGGACAUUCACCCCACAGUACCUAAUCCGUACAAUCUGCUUAGCACCCUGAACCCUGAGCGAAAAUGGUAUACUGUCCUGGACUUAAAAGAUGCUUUCUUUUGCUUGGCUCUGCAUAAAGAUAGUCAGCUGCUGUUUGCUUUUGAGUGGGUAGACCAAGAAACCGGAAUGUCUGGUCAACUAACUUGGACCAGACUCCCACAGGGGUUCAAAAACUCCCCCACUCUCUUUGAUGAAUCCCUCCACAGAGAUCUCAACAACUUCAAAACCAUGCACCCUGAAGUCACCCUACUCCAAUAUGUGGAUGACCUGCUACUGGCAGCAGACACCAAGGAAAACUGUGAGUCUGGGACCCAAGCACUACUAUCUGAGCUUGCUCAACUUGGGUAUAGAGCUUCUGUCAAAAAGGCCCAAAUUUGCCAGCAAGAAGUAAUCUUCGUGGGCUAUUCCCUUAGGGGAAGUAAACAAUGGCUCACUGAGCCCAGAAAACAAACUGUUGUGCAGAUACCACCCCCAUCUAAUAGGAGGCACCUCAGAGAGUUUCUUGGGACUGCUGGCUUUUGCAGGUUAUGGAUACCUGGGUUUGUAUCCUUAGCUGUUCCUUUAUACCCGUUGUUAAAGGGAAAUGCCCAAUUCCAAUGGAACCCUGAGCACCAACAAGCUUUUGAUAACAUCCAAAGGGCACUGCUAUCUGCUCUGGCCUUAGCACUCCUGGAUGUAGAAAAAGCCUUUACUCUCUACAUUGAGGAAAAGAAAGGGAUAGCACGAGGAGUGCUCACUCAGACUCUAAGACCCUGGAGAAGGCCUAUAGCCUACUUAUCUAAAAAGCUGGACCCAGUGGCUAGUGGAUGGCUCCAUUGCCUAAAAGCUAUAGCAGCGGUGGCCCUACUAAUCAAGGAUGCUGAUAAGUUAACACUGGGGCAGAAGCUAAACAUUAUAGCCCCCCAUGCCCUAGAGAUCAUCAUCCUCCAGUCACCAGACAGAUGGCUAUCAAACUCUAGAAUAACACACUAUCAGAGCCUGUUGCUUGACAAGGACAGAAUAAUACUGGGACCCCCCCACCCCACUUAACCCAGCUGCACUACUACCUGAACAAUCAUCAGAACCCGUCACUCAUGACUGUCAACAUAUACUGGCAGAAGAAACCAGUAUACGACGGGAUUUAAAGGAUCAGCCACUGCCCCACCCUGAGGUCAUAUGGUUCACUGAUGGCAGCAGCUUUCUCCAGGACAGUAAGCAGUGGGCUGGGGCAGCAAUAGUUAGCAGAACUAAAGUCAUCUGGUCCUCUAGCCUCCCGAAGGGAACAUCGGCUCAAAAGGCAGAGCUGAUCGCCCUCACAAAGGCAUUAGAACUAGUGGCAGGCAAAAAGUCCACCAUAUACACAGAUAGCCGCUAUGCCUUCGCUACCGCUCAUAUACAUGGGGCUAUCUACCAGCAAAGGGGACUAUUAACCUCUGCAGGAAAAGAAAUAAAAAACAGAGAUGAGAUCCUCUGCCUCCUCUCAGCAGUGCAAAGCCCUAAAAACUAGCUAUAGUGCACUGUCCAGGACACCAGAAAGGAAACGAUCCUGUAGCGGUCGGGAACAGGAGGGCGGAUGAAGAGGCUAAAUUGGCAGCCCUAAACGGAGUAACCAUGUUAACGCUUUCCACAUGGGGGGAAUAUGAGUAAGGAGAUUUAACUACAUCAGAGCACACCGACAACUUAACAUCUAAGGACACUGACACUGAACUCCUUGACUACACUGAGCCCAGCUUGCAAUUUCAGAAAGCCCUACACUACGUUAAAAAUGUACAUCAACUCACUUUGAACUUUAUUGGUUCAAAGAAACUGCAGGCAUUCCUAAAGGAUAAAGAACAGAGUUUUCCACUAACCGCCUCACAGCGAAAGGAAAUAGCUGAACGAGUAACAAAAGCCUGUCGGGCCUGUCAAUUGGUUAAUGCUUACCCCGCCAAGCUUCCUGUAGGAAGGCGCCUUCGAGGGACCAGACCAGGACAAUUUUGGGAAGUGGUCUUUACUGAAAUUAAGCCAGCAAGGUAUGGACUUAAAUAUCUCCUAAUCGUUGUAGAUACAUUUUCAGGAUGGAUAGAAGCCUUCCCCACAAAAAGAGAAAUGGUGCAAAUGGUGGUCAAGAAGAUCCUGGAAGAUAUUUUUCCAAGAUACGGCCUGCCUAAGGUAAUAGGGUCUGAUAAUGGACCGGCGUUCGUGGCCCAGGUAAGUCAGGGGUUAGCCAGGACCCUGGGGAUUAAUUGGAGGUUACAUUGCACUUAUAGACCCCAGAGCUCAGGAAAAAUAGAAAGAAUGAAUAGAACCAUUAAAGAGACCUUGACGAAAUUAAGCUUGGAGACCGGCAUAAAAGAUUGGACUAUGCUCCUGCCUUAUGCACUGUUUCGUGCAAGAAAUACUCCCUCUGUUUCUUUGUGUAACCUCACCCCCUAUGAAAUUCUCUAUGGUGCCCCUCCUCCAGUAAGGGACCUAACCCCAACUCUAAGACCUAANN